UCCCUGGUAGUAUAUCGGUUAGUACACGCGCCUGUCAUGGUCGCAUGAGCUCGACGUUCAAUGCACGCGCGAAAGCUGGGUUCGACUCCCAGCCAGGGAG